GCCGAUGCUUAUUCUUCAGGUACACGUCAUUUUAUUCCUCCCUGAAAAAAGAGGUUUACAACCCAUAGGCAGUCUUCCCUCACGCGGUAUUGCUCCGUCAGACUUUCGCCCAUUGCGGAAAAUUCCC
rnacentral:rRNA from 1 species